UCCGCGACCGCGGGAGGUUCGACUGCGGCUGCCAGCUUGGUGCUCUCAGAACUCCAUCCCCCGCCGGCCCCCGCGACCUAGGCCUUUGCCUUUUCCUGUCCAGGGGACUUAGAAGCCUCGCUGUGGCAAGUUGAGAAGAUUGGGGAAGGGGUGUACUCCUUCCCGCCAAACGCUCUGAGUUUCUGGGCUUGGCCUGCUCAGGGAGAGCCCGUUCCGGGUUUUGCAAACUCACCUCCGGGGAAGGAGCGGAGGGAAGAGGGGAGAAGCGGCCUGAACGACUGAGCUUGCAUCGGAGCGCGCUGUCACUCGGGGAAGUUCUUUGGGGAAACGCGUCGGAACGGUGGCUUCUUGCGGGAGCGGACUGACUUCUUUAGUGCUUAGAGUCUGAGAAAAACGGCAAAUAUGGAUAGUGAUCCUAGGCAUCUUCUCAUCCCUGAGGGAGAUCAUGAAAUAAAUCCUGGACCUAUGAAUAUCAAGUUUGAUUCAUCAGAUAUAAGAUCUAAAAGACUAAACUCCGUUAUCUCUGUCAGGGAUGGCUGAGGCACUAAGCAGAGAGUUCAGAGUCUACUGGAGAGGUGGCCGAGCACGAUCAGCACAGACAGGCCUGAGACGGAGUCCAGGCCCUAUGAAUUCCUUCUUCAGCAACACUAGGAAGUGGAGUUUAUUUCACUCACCCUUGUCCUGCUCUUUGCGAUUGCCCAGCCCCUGCAAACUUGCUUAAUCAUGCCUGUCCAGGUCAGGCAUCCCCAUCACUGUUCCCGGGCAUGCAAAACCCCUUAGUUUAAACCAGCCUAUUAACAGCUAGUGUUGCCCACUACAGUCUGUCUACAAAAACUCUGUAAUCCCUUUGUUUGGGGCUCAGAGCUUGGAGUGUUAAAUCCUCUGCGCCCGCUGGCAUAAUAAACCUGAGUUCUCCAACUCUCUGAGCAUGGUGCUUGGUUUCUCGAGUACUGGUUUCUGUAACAUUUCUGGAGGCUCCAGUGAGAUUCCAACCACGCUGGCCACUUCAGACACCAGACGGUUGGCUUGGCUGUGCUGGAGCAAAGGAACCCCAAGAUGAUAGAGGAGGCACGCCACCUGAUGGUAUUCUAGGUUCUCCUUUGGAAAGGUGUUUCGACUUUCCAGACGGCCGAACCCCAACUGAACUCAUUGGAGGGACAGACCAACUCACCAGGAAUGAUCACAGGAUAAGAUAAGGCUCUGGGGCCGGUCCCCAAGCAGGAACCUACCCCAGCGGCUAUAAGAGGAGACUGAUCACCUUCCUGGGCUCCCAGGAAGGGAUCAUCAGAUAGGGCGACCUGGGGACUUGGGAGGAAGGGAGGCAUUGUAUUAGCCUCUGAAUGAUUGUGAGUGUGUGAUUGCUGAUUGAAAAGAAACUUGAAAGAAACUUUUGGAAACUACAAAACCAGUUCUUUUUGCAUGUGCAAUUAAAAACAACUAGCUUGUUAAAAGACCUGCCCAGGGAAAAGCUUGAAGUUAACCCUUUCCAUGUCCUUGAAACAUACAGUCAGCUUUGCCUGAGACCUCAGCCUUGGGCAAAUUAGAACUUCAAACGGAAGGGAAAAAGGGGGUGUGUCAAAGAGAUACUUUAAAUCUCAAACAGAAAACUAUAAGAUUUCUCUCAGUCUGUCUGUCUGGAUUUAUGUAUGUCUCAGUGUAUGUCUUUUUUCUGAUAAUAUUUUUGAAGUUGUAGUUCUAAUUUAAUUGUCCUAAAGAAAAAU